GGCGCGAUAGCAAAGUGGUUAUGCACCGGCUUGCAAAGCCGUCGACGCUGGUUCGACUCCAGCUCGUGCCUCCA
rnacentral:tRNA from 1 species